rnacentral:tRNA from 1 species
AAAGGAAUGACUGAGUGGUUUAAAGUGGCAGACUGUAAAUCUGUUAAGCAAUGUCUUAUCGUAGGUUCAAAUCCUACUUCCUUUA